rnacentral:rRNA from 1 species
CCUACGGGAGGCAGCAGUAGGGAAUAUUGCUCAAUGGGGGAAACCCUGAAGCAGCAACGCCGCGUGGAGGAUGAAGGUUUUCGGAUUGUAAACUCCUUUUGUUAGAGAAGAUAAUGACGGUAUCUAACGAAUAAGCACCGGCUAACUCCGUGCCAGCAGCCGCGGUAAUACGGAGGGUGCAAGCGUUACUCGGAAUCACUGGGCGUAAAGAGCGCGUAGGCGGGAUAGCAAGUCAGAUGUGAAAGCCUAUGGCUUAACCAUAGAACUGCAUUUGAAACUGUUAUUCUAGAGUAUGGGAGAGGUAGGUGGAAUUCUUGGUGUAGGGGUAAAAUGCGUAGAGAUCAAGAGGAAUACUCAUUGCGAAGGCGACCUGCUAGAACAUAACUGACGCUGAGGCGCGAAAGCGUGGGGAGCAAACAGGAUUAGAUACCCCAGUAGUC